rnacentral:rRNA from 1 species
GGAAGAGUUGGUCUUACUAGCCGAAAACCAGCCCGCUUUGCGGUAACUGAUGAAUCACAGUAAACAGCCGAAUUGCAGUUUUGCAAUAUGUCAUUCAAGUUUCCGACCUAUCAGCUUCCGACGGUAGGGUAUUGGCCUACCGUGGCAUUGACGGGUAACGGGGAAUUGGGGUUUGAUUCCGGAGAGGGAGCCUGAGAAACGGCUACCACAUCUAAGGAAGGCAGCAGGCGCGCAAAUUACCCAAUCCUGACUCAGGGAGGUAGUGACAAGAAAUAACAACACGGGGCACAAUAGUGGCUUUGUGAUUGGAAUGAGAUUAGCAUAAACCCCUAAGCAAGUAUCAAUUGGAGGGCAAGUCUGGUGCCAGCAGCCGCGGUAAUUCCAGCUCCAAUAGCGUAUAUUAAAGUUGUUGCGGUUAAAAAGCUCGUAGUUGGAUCUGCAGACAAGGAUGCUGGUCGGCCUACAAUGGUUCGCACUGGUACUCCUAGCCUAUAUGGCAAGUCGACUGUUGGUGCUCUUAACCGAGUGCCUUCAGCGGCUAGCACGUUUACUUUGAAAAAAUUUGAGUGCUCAAAG